GAUUGAACGCUGGCGGCAGGCCUAACACAUGCAAGUCGAGCGGCAGCGGGAAAGUAGCUUGCUACUUUUGCCGGCGAGCGGCGGACGGGUGAGUAAUGCCUGGGGAUCUGCCCAGUCGAGGGGGAUAACUACUGGAAACGGUAGCUAAUACCGCAUACGCCCUACGGGGGAAAGCAGGGGACCUUCGGGCCUUGCGCGAUUGGAUGAACCCAGGUGGGAUUAGCUAGUUGGUGAGGUAACGGCUCACCAAGGCGACGAUCCCUAGCUGGUCUGAGAGGAUGAUCAGCCACACUGGAACUGAGACACGGUCCAGACUCCUACGGGAGGCAGCAGUGGGGAAUAUUGCACAAUGGGGGAAACCCUGAUGCAGCCAUGCCGCGUGUGUGAAGAAGGCCUUCGGGUUGUAAAGCACUUUCAGCGAGGAGGAAAGGUCAGUAGCUAAUAUCUGCUGGCUGUGACGUUACUCGCAGAAGAA
rnacentral:rRNA from 1 species